rnacentral:rRNA from 2 species
UUUGAGUGAGUGGCGAACUGGUGAGUAACACGUGGGAAACCUGCCCAGAAGCGGGGGAUAACACCUGGAAACAGAUGCUAAUACCGCAUAACAACUUGGACCGCAUGGUCCAAGUUUGAAAGAUGGCUUCGGCUAUCACUUUUGGAUGGUCCCGCGGCGUAUUAGCUAGAUGGUGGGGUAACGGCUCACCAUGGCAAUGAUACGUAGCCGACCUGAGAGGGUAAUCGGCCACAUUGGGACUGAGACACGGCCCAAACUCCUACGGGAGGCAGCAGUAGGGAAUCUUCCACAAUGGACGAAAGUCUGAUGGAGCAACGCCCGCGUGAGUGAAGAAGGGUUUCGGCUCGUAAAACUCUGUUGUUAAAGAAGAACAUAUCUGAGAAGUAACUGUUCAGGUAUUGACGGUAUUUAACCAGAAAGCCACGGCUAACUACGUGCCAGCAGCCCGCGGUNAUACAAU